UAGCUCAGAGGGUAAAGCGUCUGCCUACAAUGCAGGAGACCCGGGUUCGAUCCCUGG
rnacentral:tRNA from 1 species